GGAGGGUGCAAGCGUUAAUCGGAGUGACUGGGCGUAAAGGGCGCGUAGGUGGGUUAUUAAGAGAGCUGUGAAAGUCCUGGGCUUUAACCUGGGAAUGUCAGCUGAGACUGGUAGUCUAGAGUGCACGAGAGGGUAGGGGAAUUUCCGGUGUAGCGGUGAAAUGCGUAGAUAUCGGAAGGAACACCAGUGGCGAAGGCGCCUACCUGGCGUGACACUGACACUGAGGCGCGAAAGCGUGGGUAGCGAACGGGGGAUUAGAUACCCCGGUAGUCCACGCCGUAAACGAUGAGGACUCGCCCGUAGGACACGCAAGUCGUGUUUUGUGGCUAAAGCUAACGCACUAAGUCCUCCGCCUGGGGAGUACGGUCGCAAGAUUA
rnacentral:rRNA from 1 species